UGAGUAACACGUGGGUAACCUACCUAUAAGACUGGGAUAACUUCGGGAAACCGGAGCUAAUACCGGAUAAUAUUUCGAACCGCAGGUUCGAUAGUGAAAGAUGGUUUUGCUAUCACUUAUAGAUGGACCCGCGCCGUACUAGCUAGUUGGUAAGGUAACGGCUUACCAAGGCGACGAUACGUAGCCGACCUGAGAGGGUGAUCGGCCACACUGGAACUGAGACACGGUCCAGACUCCUACGGGAGGCAGCAGUAGGGAAUCUUCCGCAAUGGGCGAAAGCCUGACGGAGCAACGCCGCGUGAGUGAUGAAGGUCUUCGGAUCGUAAAACUCUGUUAUUAGGGAAGAACAUACGUGUAAGUAACUAUGCACGUCUUGACGGUACCUAAUCAGAAAGCCACGGCUAACUACGUGCCAGCAGCCGCGGUAAUACGUAGGUGGCAAGCGUUAUCCGGAAUUAUUGGGCGUAAAGCGCGCGUAGGCGGUUUUUUAAGUCUGAUGUGAAAGCCCACGGCUCAACCGUGGAGGGUCAUUGGAAACUGGAAAACUUGAGUGCAGAAGAGGAAAGUGGAAUUCCAUGUGUAGCGGGUGAAAUGCGCAGAGAUAUGGAGGAACACCAGUGGCGAAGGCGACUUUCUGGUCUGUAACUGACGCUGAUGUGCGAAAGCGUGGGGGAUCAAACAGGGAUUAGAUACCCUGGUAGUCCACGCCGUAAACGAUGAGUGCUAAGUGUUAGGGGGUUUCCGCCCCUUAGUGCUGCAGCUAACGCAUUAAGCACUCCGCCUGGGGAGUACGACC
rnacentral:rRNA from 1 species